CGAAAUCAGAGCAGCAGGUUGGUAGUUCCUGCGCCCGCCACGCGGGUUCGAUUUGCCGCGG
rnacentral:ncRNA from 1 species